AGAGUUUGAUCAUGGCUCAGAUUGAACGCUGGCGGCAGGCCUAACACAUGCAAGUCGAACGGUAACAGGAAGAAGCUUGCUUCUUUGCUGACGAGUGGCGGACGGGUGAGUAAUGUCUGGGAAACUGCCUGAUGGAGGGGGAUAACUACUGGAAACGGUAGCUAAUACCGCAUAACGUCGCAAGACCAAAGAGGGGGACCUUCGGGCCUCUUGCCAUCGGAUGUGCCCAGAUGGGAUUAGCUAGUAGGUGGGGUAACGGCUCACCUAGGCGACGAUCCCUAGCUGGUCUGAGAGGAUGACCAGCCACACUGGAACUGAGACACGGUCCAGACUCCUACGGGAGGCAGCAGUGGGGAAUAUUGCACAAUGGGCGCAAGCCUGAUGCAGCCAUGCCGCGUGUAUGAAGAAGGCCUUCGGGUUGUAAAGUACUUUCAGCGGGGAGGAAGGGAGUAAAGUUAAUACCUUUGCUCAUUGACGUUACCCGCAGAAGAAGCACCGGCUAACUCCGUGCCAGCAGCCGCGGUAAUACGGAGGGUGCAAGCGUUAAUCGGAAUUACUGGGCGUAAAGCGCACGCAGGCGGUUUGUUAAGUCAGAUGUGAAAUCCCCGGGCUCAACCUGGGAACUGCAUCUGAUACUGGCAAGCUUGAGUCUCGUAGAGGGGGGUAGAAUUCCAGGUGUAGCGGUGAAAUGCGUAGAGAUCUGGAGGAAUACCGGUGGCGAAGGCGGCCCCCUGGACGAAGACUGACGCUCAGGUGCGAAAGCGUGGGGAGCAAACAGGAUUAGAUACCCUGGUAGUCCACGCCGUAAACGAUGUCGACUUGGAGGUUGUGCCCUUGAGGCGUGGCUUCCGGAGCUAACGCGUUAAGUCGACCGCCUGGGGAGUACGGCCGCAAGGUUAAAACUCAAAUGAAUUGACGGGGGCCCGCACAAGCGGUGGAGCAUGUGGUUUAAUUCGAUGCAACGCGAAGAACCUUACCUGGUCUUGACAUCCACAGAACUUUCCAGAGAUGGAUUGGUGCCUUCGGGAACUGUGAGACAGGUGCUGCAUGGCUGUCGUCAGCUCGUGUUGUGAAAUGUUGGGUUAAGUCCCGCAACGAGCGCAACCCUUAUCUUUUGUUGCCAGCGGUCCGGCCGGGAACUCAAAGGAGACUGCCAGUGAUAAACUGGAGGAAGGUGGGGAUGACGUCAGGUCAUCAUGGCCCUUACGACCAGGGCUACACACGUGCUACAAUGGCGCAUACAAAGAGAAGCGACCUCGCGAGAGCAAGCGGACCUCAUAAAGUGCGUCGUAGUCCGGAUUGGAGUCUGCAACUCGACUCCAUGAAGUCGGAAUCGCUAGUAAUCGUGGAUCAGAAUGCCACGGUGAAUACGUUCCCGGGCCUUGUACACACCGCCCGUCACACCAUGGGAGUGGGUUGCAAAAGAAGUAGGUAGCUUAACCUUCGGGAGGGCGCUUACCACUUUGUGAUUCAUGACUGGGGUGAAGUCGUAACAAGGUAACCGUAGGGGAACCUGCGGUUG
rnacentral:rRNA from 1 species